AUUGAACGCUGGCGGCAGGCCUAACACAUGCAAGUCGAGCGGCAGCGGGAAAGUAGCUUGCUACUUUUGCCGGCGAGCGGCGGACGGGUGAGUAAUGCCUGGGAAAUUGCCCAGUCGAGGGGGAUAACAGUUGGAAACGACUGCUAAUACCGCAUACGCCCUACGGGGGAAAGCAGGGGACCUUCGGGCCUUGCGCGAUUGGAUAUGCCCAGGUGGGAUUAGCUAGUUGGUGAGGUAAUGGCUCACCAAGGCGACGAUCCCUAGCUGGUCUGAGAGGAUGAUCAGCCACACUGGAACUGAGACACGGUCCAGACUCCUACGGGAGGCAGCAGUGGGGAAUAUUGCACAAUGGGGGAAACCCUGAUGCAGCCAUGCCGCGUGUGUGAAGAAGGCCUUCGGGUUGUAAAGCACUUUCAGCGAGGAGGAAAGGUCAGUAGCUAAUAUCUGCUGACUGUGACGUUACUCGCAGAAGAAGCACCGGCUAACUCCGUGCCAGCAGCCGCGGCAAUACGGAGGGUGCAAGCGUUAAUCGGAAUUACUGGGCGUAAAGCGCACGCAGGCGGUUGGAUAANUUAGAUGUGAAAGCCCCGGGCUCAACCUGGGAAUUGCAUUUAAAACUGUCCAGCUAGGGUCUUGUANAGGGGGGUAGAAUUCC
rnacentral:rRNA from 1 species